rnacentral:misc_RNA from 1 species
GGCAAUUUGGAUCAAUUAUACAAGUAAGUUUAGAUGUAAUGAUGACAUAAAGUUGCUUAUUUUGGCAUCAUACGAUGGCAUUCAAUAUUUCUGCCAAAGCACUUGUAAUAUUUACUUUCAUUUUAUUUAUCUUCUUUUGAAUUAGGCUAUCCCCAGAUUAAUCUUUCAAAUUCAGAUAAAUUUCAGUUUAGGCUUAGAUAUUUGGUCACUUACAACUGUAUUGAUAAGAAAUUCAAAGUAUGAGAAAUUCUAAGGGUAAAACAUGUGUGUCGAAUUGGUUAACUGAGAGAAUCUUGUUGCAGCUGGUUUUCAUUGGUUGUAUUAGUUUUAGGUGUCUUCAGACUAUGAGAGAUUCUAAAGGUAAAACAUGUGUGGCCAAUGGGUUAACUAAGAGAAUAUUGUUGCGGCUGGUUUUCCUUGGUUGUAUUAGUUUUAGAUGUCUUUGUAAAUCAUGGAAUUGUCUCUAAGAUCAUGAGAGCUUGUUUAGAUUGAUAUCUAGAUUCUUCAUGUUGAAGUUCUGUACAUUUGAAUAUUAAAGCAUGAACUUUUAUGGUUGUUGCCAUUACAUAAAGUAUAUGCUUUUGUUUAUUGCUCGUUUUUGUGCAUGCAUGCAGUGAAGCCAUUCCAACCUCUGAAUUCCAAUCAUCAGUUAGGGGUUUAAAUUUUGUUAACAUUUUCUGAGAACAUAAGUAAUUGUGUUUUCUUGAAUUAACUUUAAAAUCUAAACUUUUCUUGUUGGUGUGAUGGUGAGGUUGCUCCUGCAGGUCACAAUUUCAUAGCACAGAAACAGCCUCCUUGCACUGCAAGGGAAAAGGUUGUGUGCAUCUAACCCUUCUAGGGUUUGCAAUGUGGCAAACCUCAUGCACCCUCUCCCCUUUUUCUCCACUUUUUGGAAGUUUCUUUAAGAUUUGCUCUCUGUAUGCUUUAGAGUCCAUUUGCAAUUCGCGUUGACGGACGAUAUGAAGUCCAUUGCCUCACAAAUACCUGCAUUUUUUUAUCAAACAACUUUAUAUUGGAUUGCUAUAAAUGCUGCCAAUUAGAACAUCUCAACACAGUUUAAUCCUAAGUCUGUGACUCACUUGGGAAUCCUUUCCUGUUGGUCUACUUAGACUAUAGGUCACAUAAGUUAUCAUAGCCAACAUAAACCUGC